GACGUAGGGUCCAAGCGUUGUCCGGAUUUACUGGGCGUAAAGGGCGCGUAGGCGGUCGUGACAAGUCACUUGUGAAAUCUCCGGGCUUAACUCGGAACGGUCAAGUGAUACUGUCGGACUAGAGUACAGAAGGGGCAACUGGAAUUCUCGGUGUAGCGGUGAAAUGCGUAGAUAUCGAGAGGAACACCUGCGGCGAAGGCGGGUUGCUGGGCUGAUACUGACGCUGAGGCGCGAAAGCCAGGGGAGCGAACGGG
rnacentral:rRNA from 1 species